rnacentral:rRNA from 1 species
UACGAAGGGGGCUAGCGUUGCUCGGAAUUACUGGGCGUAAAGGGAGCGUAGGCGGAUAGUUUAGUCAGAGGUGAAAUCCCGGGGCUCAACCUCGGAACUGCCUUUGAUACUGGCUAUCUUGAGUAUGGGAGAGGUGUGUGGAACUCCGAGUGUAGAGGUGAAAUUCGUAGAUAUUCGGAAGAACACCAGUGGCGAAGGCGACACACUGGCCCAUUACUGACGCUGAGGCUCGGAAAGCGUGGGGAGCAAACAGGG